GAUGAACGCUAGCUACAGGCUUAACACAUGCAAGUCGAGGGGCAUCAGGAACAUAGCUUGCUAUGUUUGCUGGCGACCGGCGCACGGGUGCGUAACACGUAUCCAAUCUGCCCGUUACUCGGGGAUAGCCUUUCGAAAGAAAGAUUAAUACCCGAUAGUAUUAUUUAUAGGCAUCUAUUUAUAAUUAAAGAUUUAUCGGUAACGGAUGAGGAUGCGUAUGAUUAGUUAGUUGGCGGGGUAACGGCCCACCAAGACUACGAUCAUUAGGGGUUCUGAGAGGAAGGUCCCCCACACUGGAACUGAGACACGUUCCAGAAUCCUACGGGAGGCAGCAGUGAGGAAUAUUGGUCAAUGGACGAGAGUCUGAACCAGCCAAGUAGCGUGAAGGAUGACUGCCCUAUGGGUUGUAAACUUCUUUUGUUUGGGAAUAAAGUUAGGUACGUGUACCUAUUUGUAUGUACCAUUCGAAUAAGCAUCGGCUAAUUCCGUGCCAGCCGCCGCCGUAAGAC
rnacentral:rRNA from 1 species